UACGAAGGGUGCAAACGUUGCUCGGAAUCAUUGGGCGUAAAGCGCACGUAGGCGGCCUUGUAAGUCGGAUGUGAAAUCCCACGGCUUAACCGUGGAAGUGCAUCCGAAACUGCGAGGCUCGAGUAUGGAAGAGGGUCGCAGAAUUCCCGGUGUAGAGGUGAAAUUCGUAGAUAUCGGGAGGAACACCAGUGGCGAAGGCGACUUCCUGGCCUGUUCUUGACGCUGAGGCGCGAAAGCUAGGGGAGCAAACGGG
rnacentral:rRNA from 1 species